GCAAAGACAAAAAAAAUCUCAUGUUUCAGAAAAGAUCCAAUCAUAUACCAUACACCUGCCAAGUCCUAUCCCAAUUCCCGAAGAUUCAUGAAGGCACUAACCAAUUUCUGACUAAAAAUUCCAACUUUUCUUCCUCUCGAGCAAUCCUAAGCCUGCAUGAACCACAUGGGAAUACACGAAGGGUAAAUUAAAGGGAUGGAGGGCGUAAGCUAACUGCAGAUUAUAGCACUCACACACCAAUCCCUCUCGGUGUGCACUGUGAGCACUGUACAACAGAAGAAAAUUUAAUCUAGAAAGAGAACUAAACACAAAUUUCUUUUUCGAAGCCAUCUCUGACGUCCGAUCGGUGAGGGUAUACAGCAGACCGCCGGAUCACAACUAAAAACUUGGCCGGAGGACUCGGACGACCAGCAGAGAUGGCAGGGGGAUUCA
rnacentral:lncRNA from 1 species